GCCGGUGUAGCUCAGUCGGUAGAGCAACUGAUUUGUAAUCAGUAGGUCGCGGGUUCAAGUCCCGCCGCCGGCC
rfam:Hyalangium minutum strain DSM 14724 contig_23, whole genome shotgun sequence.